rnacentral:rRNA from 1 species
UACCAGCACCCCGAGUGGUCGGGACGAUUAUUGGGCCUAAAGCAUCCGUAGCCGGUUCUGCAAGUCCCCCGUUAAAUCCAGCUGCUCAACAGAUGGGCCGCGGAGGAUACUACAGAGCUAGGAGGCAGGAGAGGCAAGCGGUACUCAGUGGGUAGGGGUAAAAUCCGUUGAUCCAUUGAAGACCACCAGUGGCGAAGGCGGCUUGCCCAGAAUGCGACUCGACGGUGAGGGAU